rnacentral:piRNA from 1 species
UGCUUAGGAAUGAUUUGGAACAU